GUAGGGCGGGACAUUCCUUCGCCAUCCGUCGAUUUUCCUCCGUAAAAUCUAUAAAAUCUUCUGUUUACAGACUUGAGUUAAAACUAAAGAGUAAGUGGGACUCGUGGCUGGUUCAUGCUUACCUAUAUGUGAUGUUUGGCUCUUUAGCAUGCUCCAAAGCCACUUCCACCUGGGCAGGACUAACGUCUGUCCCCACCACCGAGGCAAAGUGUUUGGCCAGCAGCACUGUUCCCUGUCCUGAGCCGCAACCAACAUCUACUGCCAGCUCGAAGGGAUGUCCUUUCUGCCCCAAAAUCGAGCACGUUAUACAACAUUGCUGCAAAGAAGUCAAGCACCUGUCGUAUUAGAUCAUCUGAUGGUGAGAUCCUGUACUUCCAGUAGGAAGAAGCAUGCUUUUUGCCUUCAAACAGACGGUUUUACUGGGUAAGAGGAGCUAUUAACUUCCACAUUGAAAAGACCGUGUAUUCUUUUCUGCCGGAAAUGACCUCUUCUGAGUAUUAAGCAGCAGGUCUUCAGCAGCCUGGGGAUCUUUCCUUUUGUAAUCUUGGAACAUGGACCAGGACUCAAUGAAACCCACCAGGUUCCUCACCGAGAUGGUCGAGUUCACCCGAAUACGUUCAAUCCUGUUGUACCAUUUUAUUGACUUAUUAUAAAGAUAAUUAAACAAUAACAACUUGACAUCAUUUAACUGUGCAUUUAUUGAUUCAAGACAGCAAUAACAACUGCCUUUCUGUUUUAUGUAACAAGGACAGAACGUGAUUUCAGCUCUGAACAAGUUUGCUAUUGUCUAUCUUUGUCAAUCAGAACAGGGGUUAUUGCCACCAUAAGUUACACUCAUGUGGAAUUCGCCUUGGUGAUUGGUGCUUAAACAAACAAACAUAUUAAACAUUAAUAUAAAUAAUAAAUACAGAAACAAAUACAAAAUAGCUGUUUUGCAUAAGAAAAAAAGAGGCUGAUCAAAUGAGGCAAAUAACAGUGUAACAAUUUAAUACUGUUUAUGAUUUUAUAGGAACAGCAGACAAUGGUAUUGUAUUUAGCUAUCACAGAGGUGUGUUUACUGUAGGAGUGUAUGGUAAAUACCUCUCCUUGUCGGGAAACGGGAUGGCUGAGUAGAGCUCCUCCAGCUUACUCUUAUCUACAGCUACUUGAUUGUUAGUGUAAGGCAACAGCACCUGCCUCACCUGAAAGUAAAUGUAUAGAAAUGUUUAAUUAUUCCAUCAUGUAUUGAAUUUAUAUUGCAUGUAUAUCGUGUCUGUAUAUACAUGUAUCUAUAUCUGUAUCUAUUUCAAAUAUCUUUAGUUUUCUGUACUGUUUGAUUUUGCCUUACA